CUGCACUGGGUCCAGAAGCUUCUCUUUCUCUUAAACAAAAGGGCUGAGGUCUUGGACCCCACAGCUUGGACCUUCCUGAACCAGAAGGCAGAUUCCACAGCCUAUGCCCUUGGGCGAGUCACUCUGAGUUUGAAGCCUCAGUUUCCUCAUCUGUGCCAUAGUCCUUCCUUCGUGGGUAUUUUCAAGAAUCAAUGGAGAGAAGCAGCCAGGCCCUCCGCCAAGGCAGGGGCACAGCAGGUGUUUGGCGGUCACAGCUGUUUAUUGUUUGUUGUCCUCGAUGACUUGCUGUCCCUGAUUAUUUUUGGUUGCUCAGAAUGGGGACCACGAGUUCUGCCAGUCAAGGGCAGGGGACUAGGCUGUGGCCUGCCUCGUUUUGUCACUUGGACGAUUUCCUGCCCUUCCUGGGGCUUCAGCGUCCCCCUCUGCACGAUGGGGGUAGAGGGAGAUGAUGCGGAGGACUCCGAGUUCACGGCAGCGGCGCUUCUUUCUUUCUCCUCCAAGCCGCGAACACCCAGAUGACUCGGGGAGGAGGGAGGCCAUGUAAAUUUUUCAGACAGCAGAUGUACCUGGCUGGCCUGGAAUGUGAAUCUUUAAUGUGUCACAUCCUAGUUAUAGUUCGUAUUCUGAGGGUGUUUUUCUCUCAGGCUGGGGAAUUCAGCCGUUCUCCCAACCCCUGCUGAGCUCCGGAGGCCACACCGGGAGGGGCGCGGCCGCGGCGCGGGGCCCAUUAGCGGAUCAAUUAGCCGAGGUCGCCGGCGGCGCGUCGUUAAGCGCGGGAGACCGCGGCUCCGGGGAAGCUCCGGUGAUGGCACCUCCGCUCGCCCGGCUUCCCGGCCGAGAUCCCGCGCCCACCACCUCCAGCCCCCGCGGUCUCCGGGACCCUUUCUAACUCCCAGGGGACCCGCUCCGCUGGUGGAAUGGCGGCGAUGGCGGGCUCGGAGGCCCAGAGGGAGACCCCAGGUCACAGACGUGUCUUUGGCUGAGCAGGAUCCCCACACCUCCCUUAGAAAAGACCCUUGGGUGGGGGCUGUCAGGUUUGUGACCCCCGCUCCCCCAAUGCCCUUCAUCAGCCAGCAACAUCAGUGGUGAUAAUAUUAACUGACAGCUAGUGAACCUUUGCAAGCUUUCUGCUAAUUCUCCCAACAGUUUCCCAGAAACUGCGAUCAGACAAGUGACUUCAUGCCUCAAAUCACUACUUAGGGUAGGAGCCGGGCACAAACCCAGGUCUGUCCUCAAUGCAUUUGCUAACAUGUAUUGAGUUGCUUCUAUGUGCAAAUUUCAAAAA